AUGUGCCACUCUUGCAACCAUUUCCAUACCAUGACUGGCCUGAGGGCCCAGGCUCCAACUCCAUUGGCCCGAACUUGCUGGGCUCCAGUCCUGAGAUUUUCACCUUCGACCCUCCCUCUUCGGGAGCAGGGGGUAGCAUCUGCCACGCAUCUGAAUACUUCUCGCGGUCACCAAAACACAGCCAAAGAGUCCUCUACUCUCAAGAAGUCCAGCACCAGCUCCUAGCUGAGGAACCCAAUAUUGCCAUGAGGGUCCUCUUUCCCUUGCUCACCAUCGUCUUCUGCCAGAUUUUGAUAGUUGAAAAGAGGGUGUUUGGCAGCCCCUGUCUCCGGAGGAUGCGCUGUAUCACCUGAGCCCAUCUCUGCACCCCAUUACAGCAUCUCCGGUCCUCGAGCCUUUGAAUCUGACCUCUGAGUCCUUGGACUAUGAACAGGAUUUCAAAGCUUUUCUCCAGCAACUUCCGGCAGCUUUCUAA
rnacentral:lncRNA from 1 species